AGCUCCACACUCUCCUGGGGUUCUGACCAGGAUAUCAAAGUGUUCCUUAUUAAGAUACUGAAGACGAGAAGCCACUUGGGGAGUAGUUGUUGGGAUCACCACACAGAGAUGUCCCAAGCAUAAAUGGAUCUUCAGUCCUGGCUUAUAGAAGAGGCUUGGCUUAGAGAUACGGAUGCAGACAAAUUUCAGACUAACUGAAAACUGUGGGUUAAGAGUGAGAAGAAUCUAGGCCCAAGCUCUGCAAAUAGUCACAAAGAAAGGGAAGCUGAGACCUUUCUUCUUCCUGGAGGUAGCAUCUCAGAAGUGAAGGAGGAAACUUCAAAAGGAAGGAAAGGUCAACCAUGUCCAAUGCUGUCAAGAGUUCAAGGGAGGAACUGAAAGACCACGAAGUAGCUGUUGAAAGCAGUGACAGGCUGACCUUGAACUCACUAGGCAGCCCAGGUUGACCCUGAACUCCUGAUGGUCCUACCUCAGUGCUAAGGUGCUGAGUGCUAUGAUGAUAAGGUUAAGUCAUCUUGCCUGGAUAAGCCCUGUAAGCCUUCAUUUCCUCCUCUGCAAUAUGUGCAUCAAAGUGCCUACCUCAACUGGCUGAUGUGAGAGUUAAAUGCGAUAAUUCAAAACUCUUAGUAUUAAGGCUCAGCUACCACCGCUUACUUACUGGUACCGUAGUGUGAUGCAUACAUCAAACUCUGGGAUAAGUGUUCUUCCACAGAUGAUGAAUCUGGGGCUGGGAGAUGGGAGCACAGAGACAUCUAGAAGGC
rnacentral:lncRNA from 1 species